UGCUGACGAGUGGCGGACGGGUGAGUAAAGUAUGGGGAUCUGCCGAAUGGAGGGGGACAACUGCUGGAAACGGCAGCUAAUACCGCAUAAAGUUGAGAGACCAAAGCGUGGGACUUUUUAGCCACGCGCCAUUUGAUGAACCCAUAUGGGAUUAGCUUGUUGGUAGGGUAAUGGCUUACCAAGGCGACGAUCUCUAGCUGGUCUGAGAGGAUGACCAGCCACACUGGAACUGAGACACGGUCCAGACUCCUAUGGGAGGCAGCAGUGGGGGAUAUUGCACAAUGGGGGAAACCCUGAUGCAGCCAUGCCGCGUGUAUGAAGAAGGCUUUCGGGUUGUAAAGUACUUUCGGUAAUGAGGAAGGUGUAUUAUCUAACAGGUAAUGCAAUUGACGUUAGUUACAGAAGAAGCACCGGCUAACUCCGUGCCAGCAGCCGCGGUAAUACGGAGGGUGCGAGCGUUAAUCGGAAUAACUGGGCGUAAAGGGCAUGCAGGCGGGUCAUUAAGUUAGGUGUGAAAUCCCCGGGCUCAACCUGGGAACUGCACUUAAAACUGGUGGUCUGGAGUAUUGUAGAGGAAGGUAGAAUUCCACGUGUAGCGGUGAAAUGCGUAGAGAUGUGGAGGAAUACCGGUGGCGAAGGCGGCCUUCUGGACAAAUACUGACGCUGAGAUGCGAAAGCGUGGGGAGCAAACAGGAUUAGAUACCCUGGUAGUCCACGCUGUAAACGAUGUCGAUUUGGAGUUUGGUGGCAUGACG
rnacentral:rRNA from 1 species